rnacentral:rRNA from 1 species
CAGGCUUAACACAUGCAAGUCGGGGGGCAGCAUGGUCUUAGCUUGCUAAGACUGAUGGCGACCGGCGCACGGGUGAGUAACACGUAUCCAACCUGCCGUCUACUCUUGGACAGCCUUCUGAAAGGAAGAUUAAUACAAGAUGGCAUCAUGAGUCCGCAUGUUCACAUGAUUAAAGGUAUUCCGGUAGACGAUGGGGAUGCGUUCCAUUAGAUAGUAGGCGGGGUAACGGCCCACCUAGUCUUCGAUGGAUAGGGGUUCUGAGAGGAAGGUCCCCCACAUUGGAACUGAGACACGGUCCAAACUCCUACGGGAGGCAGCAGUGAGGAAUAUUGGUCAAUGGGCGAGAGCCUGAACCAGCCAAGUAGCGUGAAGGAUGACUGCCCUAUGGGUUGUAAACUUCUUUUAUAAAGGAAUAAAGUCGGGUAUGUAUACCCGUUUGCAUGUACUUUAUGAAUAAGGAUCGGCUAACUCCGUGCCAGCAGCCGCGGUAAUACGGAGGAUCCGAGCGUUAUCCGGAUUUAUUGGGUUUAAAGGGAGCGUAGAUGGAUGUUUAAGUCAGUUGUGAAAGUUUGCGGCUCAACCGUAAAAUUGCAGUUGAUACUGGAUAUCUUGAGUGCAGUUGAGGCAGGCGGAAUUCGUGGUGUAGCGGUGAAAUGCUUAGAUAUCACGAAGAA